rnacentral:rRNA from 1 species
AAUCAACGCUGGCGGCGUGCCUCAGACAUGCAAGUCGAACGAGAAAGUUUCCUUCGGGAGACGAGUACAGUGGCGUCCGGGUGAGUAACACGUGGGUAAUUUACCUUUGGGUGGGAAUAGCAGCCGGAAACGGCUAUUAAUACCGCAUAAUGCAGCGGCUCGACAUCGAGACAGUUGUUAAAGCGGGGAUCUGACAAGGACCUCGCGCCUAAAGNGAAGCCUGCGUCAGAUUAGCUAGUUGGUAGGGUAAUGGCCUACCAAGGCUGUGAUCUGUAGCCGGCCUGAGAGGGCGGUCGGCCGACACUGACACUGACACACGGGUCAGACUCCUACGGGAGGCAGCAGUCGGGAAUUUUGGGCAAUGGGCGCAAGCCUGACCCAGCAACGCCGCGUGAAGGAU